rnacentral:rRNA from 1 species
UACGGAGGGGGCUAGCGUUGUUCGGAAUUACUGGGCGUAAAGCGCACGUAGGCGGCUUUGUAAGUUAGAGGUGAAAGCCCAGGGCUCAACCCUGGAAUUGCCUUUAAGACUGCAUCGCUUGAACAUCGGAGAGGUAAGUGGAAUUCCGAGUGUAGAGGUGAAAUUCGUAGAUAUUCGGAAGAACACCAGUGGCGAAGGCGACUUACUGGACCGGUUCUGACGCUGAGGCGCGAAAGCGUGGGGAGCAAACAGG